rnacentral:rRNA from 1 species
UACAGAGGUCUCGAGCGUUAGGCGGAAUCACUGGGCUUAAAGCGUGUGUAGGUGGAUGCCUAAGUACCUUGUGAAAUCCCACGGCUUAACCGUGGAACUGCUUGGUAUACUGGGUGUCUUGAGUCACUCAGGGGCGAGCGGAACAAAUGGUGGAGCGGUGAAAUGCGUAGAUAUCAUUUGGAACGCCAACGGCGAAAGCAGGCAGCUGGGGAUGCACCGACGCUGAGACACGAAAGCCAGGGGAGCGAACGGG